rnacentral:rRNA from 1 species
GACGAACGCUGGCGGCGUGCCUAAUACAUGCAAGUCGAACGCAGUGGGGACGGGUGAGUAACACGUGGGUAACCUCCCAUCAGAGGGGAUAACACUUGGAAACAGGUGCUAAACCGAUACUGAUGGAUGGACCCGCGGUGCAUUAGCUAGUUGGUGGGGUAACGGCACACCAAGGCCACGAUGCAUAGCCUGCUCGAGAGGGUGAACGGGCAAACUGGGACUGGGACACGGCCCAGAAUCCUACGGGAGGGAACAGUAGGGAAACAUCGGAAAUGGGGGGAAAGCUGAACGAGCAACGCCGCGGGAGUGAAGAAGGGUUUCGGAUCGUAAAGCUCUGUUGUUAAGGAAGCGGUACUUAACCAGAAAGGAACGGCUAACUACGUGCCAGCCGCCGCGGUAAUUC